UUCCGUAGGCACUCUAUCAACCCGCCUCCAGCCAACGAGCGGCCUUGAGAAGCAUCUGCGUUCACUCCCAAGUGGAAGUGACCUGGGGCAGACAGGAAGAAAAGUAAAAGUUGUCAGAACCUGAGAACAAAAGCAAAGCUUGUCCACGUCGGUUCUUAGAACUUUCUAGGUUUGGUCAUUAUAUGCCGGACACACACGUAACCACUGCCACGUGGGCUUUUGUUUGUUUCUGAGACGUGCUGAGGGAUCACAGAAGUAUCUGGCCAACUCUACAAACUAUCCUAAUUUUUAUAUUUCCUCCAAAGGACAUAAAGGGCAACGUAGAGCAGAUUCCUGACGGUGCUUGGCCCGGCUUGGCCCCACAACCUCCUCAUUCAGUCGUAAGAAACAGAACAAGAUGUGAAUUCACGCAAACAGAUGCCCAAAGUUAGCUGUGCAAACAGGAGCCUCCCAGCGCCGGGCUGAACUCAGCUGGGACAGCCUGCCUCCUCACCCUUCAAGUGUCUAAGACAACCUGCUUCUUUAGCCCUAGGCUACUGAGAAAAAUGAAAGGUCCCAAACUUAAUUUGGCGAGGAUUUCCUCCAAGGCACCACUUCCCGAAUCUUCAACGAGUUGCAGUGCUCCAGUCUGGGCUGGACUUGAAGGCGGCUUAUUGAUCGCCCGGGCUGCAGCCCAGCUCCUCGGCUCCACUGCCCGGAGGGGGCUGGGAUCGGGGGCCCAGGAAGAGCGGGGGCCCUGCCCUCCCCUGGGCACCUGUAAAACCCUUCUCUGAAUUUCAAGGCGAUGGCCAAGCUGUUCUCCAGAAAGCACACACCAGACUAAAAUAAAGGACCAGACGCAAGCCAGAAACAGAGAGGAAGAUCUCAUCCUGAUGGGCCUUUUGGAAGCCAGGGGCACUGGAAGUGAAAAGACUAACAUGGGGGCAAAAUAAGGCCAGGUCCAUUACCACCACCAGUUUGCAGGCGAGGAGACCCAAGUGCCAAGAGGCAAAGAACACGUGCGGUAGUGGCAGCAGGGGGAACGUGAGCUCCUUCCGACACCAGGACCCAAGCCUUUGAUCCAGCUCCACUUUUCUGAGGCUUUAGAAUGUAGACAUUUAAACAAAGCAAAAAAGAAUUUGCAAUGGGAAAAAGACCGUCUCUUCAACAAAUGCUGUUGUCAAAACCAGACAGCCACAUGCAAAAGACUGAAAUUGGACCACUUUCUUACACCGUACACAAAAAUAAACUCAAAAUGGAUUAAAAACCUAAAUGUGAAACCUGAAACCAUAAAAAUCCUAGAAGAGAACACAGCCAGUCAUGUCUCUGACAUCCGUAGGAGGAACAUUUUUCUAGAUAGGUCUCCUGAGGCAAGGGAAAUAAGAGCAAAAAUAAACUACUGGGACUGCAUCAACAUAAAAAGCUCUGCACAGUGAAGGAAGCAAUCAACAAAACUCAAAGGUAACC